rnacentral:rRNA from 1 species
GACGAACGCUGGCGGCGUGCUUAACACAUGCAAGUCGAACGGAAAGGCCCUGCUUUUGUGGGGUGCUCGAGUGGCGAACGGGUGAGUAACACGUGAGUAACCUGCCCUUUACUUUGGGAUAACUUCAGGAAACUGGGGCUAAUACCGGAUAGGAGCUCCUGCUGCAUGGUGGGGGUUGGACAGUUUCGGCGGUUGGGGAUGGACUCGCGGCUUAUCAGCUUGUUGGUGGGGUAGUGGCUUACCAAGGCUUUGACGGGUAGCCGGCCUGAGAGGGUGACCGGCGACAUUGCGACUGAGAGACGGACCAGACGCCUACGGGGGGCAGCAGUGGGGAAUAUUGUACAAUGGGCGGAAGCCUGAGGCAGCAACGCCGCGUGCGGGAUGACGGCCUUCGGGUGGUAAACCGCUGUCGCUUGUUACGAAGCGGGAGUGACGGUAAUGGGUAAAGAAGCACCGGCUAACUACGUG